rnacentral:tRNA from 9 species
CGGAGUGUGGCUCAGCCUGGUAGAGCACUACGUUCGGGACGUAGGGGUCGCAGGUUCAAAUCCUGCCACUCCGACCA